GUGAAUCUCCACCUCCCAACAGAAUCUCAUUACAGAAAUUCUCCAUAAUUAGAAAAGGAUGUAGAACCAGACUCAAUUUCCCAGUCUUGCUCCUGGGUAUGUGGUCUGUUGACUAUCUUCCUCCCAAAUCCUCCACUCUUGUUUUCUUGUUAUCUGCGAAGCUGGAAGUCAGAGGACUCUGAUGCCCUAGGUGAUGGCGGAGAUACAAGAUUGAAGGAGCCUGGGUCCCGAGUCAUUGCUUGGAAAGAGCCAUACAGCAGGGCCACCUGUCCAGGAACACUCACAUUGUGUUAUUUCACAAAUGAAAAAUGAACACUGGAGUGCUGGGGCUGAUUGUCACAGCGGUUAGCCUCCUCUGAAGAACGCAGCUGGAUUUCACCCUCUCUCUAGCUAUGGAGCUCAUCCACAUUUGCUUCCUAAUUGAUGCUUUGAUGAGUAUCAUUAAUCCAUUUUUUUAUGACUUUUUUUAAAAAACAAAAUGCAUCUUCCAUUUUCCAUGACUACUAGAACUAUAGACAAAAGAUGCAAGAAAAUAUUUACUCUAUUAGGGGCAUUAAAUAGUAUUUAAUUUCUUUCUUUUGACUACACAAACUUUUGAAGUUUUAGGACAGUAGCUGCAUAGAUCUACUUGUAAGAGAAAAAUUAAUUUUUAAUUUCUCUUAUUAUUUGGAAUGUUCUCUUGAAAUUAGUAAGUUCAAAAUCCAGUUGAUUUUCCCUUUGUUAAUCUGAUAUAAUUAAUUUAUAUAAAUGUUUUCCAGGCUAAAGCCCAAGUACAUGGAAAUUUACAUAGUAAAAACCAGGAAAUAAUGUUACUGUUUAUCAUGUUGGCUCCUGCACUUUCAAGUUACCUUUCUUACCUUAUUACUUGGGAACAAUGAUGUCAUGGCUUAGAAUUUAGAUGUUUCUAGGUACUUACUUUGUGAUUAUCAGCAACCUUACUAUAUGACAGCUUGUUUUGUACACUGAAUUUAAAAAGAGUUAAUACAAUACUUCAAGUGUAUUUAAUAAAAUGGCUUGGCAUUUCACGUGCAAACAUGUUUUGGAAACUUAAAGUAACUUUAUUAUUUCCUGGACUUUAUUAAUUGAUUGACAUCAAGAUAGGCUAACUCAGACCAAAAGUAUUCAUAUUUCCACAGGAAUAGUUAUUAAAAAGGUGAGGAAAGAAAAACAAACAAUGAUAUAAACACUGAAUAGAUCAGAAAAACAAUGUUUGAAUUAUGAUAAUUCAGAUGUGAAAGAAGAGUGACCAAAUGCAAGAAAAAUGAACAUGAGGGAAGUUAAAUAAAGGGAGAUGUGAGCUGAAAGAAAACACAAUCAAUAUAGAUGGGC
rnacentral:lncRNA from 10 species